UUAAUUGAAGCCAAAAAGCGGCAUAUUACUGUUAAUGAUAUUAUUGAAUAAUAAUUCCAAUUAAG
rnacentral:tRNA from 1 species